CACGUCGAAUACGAAAACCCGGAAAUAUUUUCUCCGUUGCCGUUUUUUAUACUAUGACGCAAAAUCCAUGGACGCUCGUCUGCUGCUGAAUUUAUGUUUUACAGUUUAACAAGGAUUUGUAUAGUGUCACUGUACAAAUCCUUGAGUUUAAAGAAUGGAAAGAUAUAUUAUAGUCAGAUAGAUAAUACAAAGAACUCUGGUUUUUCAAAACCGAUGGGUCAAAAAGUUAUUAGUAUAUACAGAUAAAUUGAAAUGGGUUGCUUGUCGAUUAACUGGAAGAAACCGGGGAACGAAAGAAAGUUGUGUUUCUCUUAACGGAUUACGUACCCAAUAUUUUGUACUUGGAAAGCGCAACGAAAGCUGACUCAAAAUCAUGCAUGAUGAUGCUGUUUGGGCCCCCUGGUUAUACAUAGGAAGUGGACUCCUCGAGAAGAUGAAAGGUCUGCUUUACAUCAUUUUCAAUGAAAGUACAAGUACUUUGAGAAGUAGGAGAAGCUAAGCAACAGAACAGAAUUCAUUUGGGUCAUUGAUGUCUAGAUUAUAUAGUGGAUUCAUAGAUUGUCAUAUUGAUUUAUGUGCAUAUGAGCACAGAGGAGCAGUAGUCAAUGAAUAAUUUUGUGAUGAGAGCUUGUAACCAAAUGAAAGGAAAGUACAGUAUUGACAAUGAUUGAUAUCACUGGUGAACAUGUAUGUCAUGUAGGUGUGAAUGUCCUGCAAAAAAGAACUGAUAUCAAAUUACCAUUCACAGUGAACAUGGUGAAGAAUAACCAAUACCAUGAAUACAGGACAUAGAAGACUACCUCACAAAUAUGGGAAUUUUACAAAAAAUACAACAUUUAAAUUUACAAAGAAGACAUUUAUUUUGACAUUCAUGGACUUUGAAAGUAAAGAAAUUAGAAUGUGAAUAAAAAUCCUUGGAAAUAAAAUUUUGAACUUUGAA